UACGUAGGGGGCAAGCGUUGUCCGGAUUUAUUGGGCGUAAAGAGCUCGUAGGUGGUUCGGUAAGUCGGAUGUGAAAUCUCCAGGCUCAACCUGGAGGGGUCAUUCGAUACUGCCGUGACUAGAGGUCGGUAGGGGAGUGUGGAAUUCCUGGUGGAGCGGUGAAAUGCGUAGAUAUCAGGAGGAACACCCGUAGCGAAGGCGGCACUCUGGGCCGAUACUGACACUGAGGAGCGAAAGCGUGGGGAGCGAACAGG
rnacentral:rRNA from 1 species